UCCCAAGUAGUAAAAUUAAAAUAAACACUAAUACAAAACGCAGUUUUUACAUCGGUGGAAAAUGACAUUCUACAUCGGUGAUUGACCGAUGUAGAAUAAGAUGUCGUUGAAAGUUAAAAGUUUCAACAUCGGUCCUAAAAUAACUGUUGUAGAAAGACAACGUUUUCUACAUUGCGCCUAAUGUACCAACUAUCCUUGAUAAGUAAUUAUUACAACGGUGCUAUACUAACCACUGAUGUAGAAAUUAGACCUUCUACAUCUGUGUUAUAUUCAUCAACGAUGUAAAAAGGAGGUUUUCCACAUCGGUGCUUAUGUCACCAC
rnacentral:lncRNA from 1 species